rnacentral:rRNA from 1 species
GACGAACGCUGGCGGCGUGCUUAACACAUGCAAGUCGAGCGGUAAGGCCCCUUCGGGGGUACGACGAGCGGCGAACGGGUGAGUAACACGUGGGUGACCUGCCCUCAGCUCUGGGAUAAGCCUGGGAAACUGGGUCUAAUACCGGAUAUGACUCCAUGACGCAUGUCGUGGGGUGGAAAGCCUUGUGCGGCUGGGGAUGGGCCCGCGGCCUAUCAGCUUGUUGGUGGGGUGAGGCCUACCAAGGCGACGACGGGUAGCCGGCCUGAGAGGGCGCCGGAACCNCACUGGGACUGAGACACGGCCCAGACUCCUACGGGAGGCAGCAGUGGGGAAUCUUGCGCAAUGGGCGAAAGCCUGACGCAGCGACGCCGCGUGAGGGAUGACGGCCUCGGUU